CUCUUAGCUGAAGCUUCUCUCUUCUCUGAAGCUUAGAAAACAUUCUUCUGAAGACUAAACAACAAGGGAAGAGGAGCAAUGGCUAAUGUCCAGCUAUCCCAACAGUGCUCCUCUUGGCUAUACUAACGGACGAGACUGGACAGUUUGAGGACUGGAGUAUGACCUGCUCAUUCGAGCGUUGCUGAGUAGCUCAGAGACAUCAAGAGAAUCGAGAAUCUACGUUUUCUCAAGCAAAAUUUAACUGAGUUACGAGUUGGGGCCUAGAAUCAGAGAAGUCCAGCAGCCUGCUAAAUCUUUUUAAAACGUAAUUUGAAGGCAUUCAAUCAUCCUGAAGUUGCCCUGGGUCACUGUAAUUGUGCUGCAGCACAACUGGCAACUCCCCAGGCCUUUGUGAAGCAGCUCCCUAUGUGCAUCUUUUGUGUACUCACUCUGUGCAUUUUCUGUGUACAAAUUUCGAUUAUAAAUAUUUU